ensembl:lncRNA
GGGGAGGCCACCCUGGCACCGGAGCCCAAGAAGAAGAGGAGGAAGAUGACGACGGGCGACGCGGAGCAGCCGGCAACGCCCACUCCUGCUCGGGCUGAGACCCGGUUGCCUGAGGGCUGGCGGACAGCCCUCACCGGGGAAGAGCAGGAGUGGAUCGGCCGGGCGCUGUUUCAGCAGACCAGCGGGGGGUCCCUCAAGCUCACCACGGACCUCAAGCUGUGGUGGGACCCCCCCCAGCCCCGGCUGAACUAUUCUCAGCCACCCGCCUCGGCGGCUACCUUCUUCGCGUGUCGGUUGUUCCUCUGGGCGCCCCUGCACAUGUGGGGUCCCCGGCCGACAUGCUGCGAGAAGCAUCUCACCAAGUGUGGGAUGUACAAGACCAUCCGGAAGGUCUUGGACAUCGACGGCUGGUACUUGAUGGCCACCGAGUACCUGGAGUGCCGUCGGUGUCGGAGGAAGGUAGCCGCCUGGUCGCAGGAGGUCGUGAGGCAGCUGGGAGAGGGGCAUCGCGCCCCUCUUCCCGGUGAUCCUCACCUACAAGCUUGCCUGCGACCGGCGGGUCAUCAUCCAGCUGCGUGAGCGUACUCGGGGGAACAGCGCCACGCAGCUGCAAAAAAAACUCGGUGAGGCACACACAGAGGCCUGGAUGCGGCGGUCCAUACACUACCUCAGCGUCAUGGAGCCCUUCACGUCGACGGGUGUCGUGUGCCAGUGCACCCCACCGCCGAAACCAUCGCCAGACGUGCCGCAGUACGGCUGGCUGUUGGUGGUGUACUGCCACGACAUCCUGUCUCGCCUGGAGGACGUGAAGGCCCGGGGUCACCUCAGUCUUCGGAUCCAUCCUAAAGAUGGAUUCGACCAAGAAGGUGACCCGGAAGCUCGCCGGUGCCGCCGCCCAUACCGCAGCCUGGGCGACCAACGUGGGCAACGAGCACGGGCAGGUGCUAAUGUCCGUGCUCACGGCCACCGGUGGCCUGUUGCCCAUGGCUGCGGGGUUAAUGAGGCGGUACCGGGACGCUGGGGUAGCGCAGCCUCGCGUCCUCUAUGUCGACCGGGACUGCUGUUCGUCCCACGGGGGGGUCCAAGGCAGCUGCUGCGUUCCAGGAGUGGGACAAGCUGGUGGUCCGGUUGGACAUUUUGCACUUCUGGUGUCACAACCGAGAGCCACCAGCUGUACAAGCCCUUCCUGCAGCAGCUGUCUGCCAGUAUCUUCCUGUGGGACCCAGAGGACACAGCCCGGUUGCUCAACGCCAAGAGGAGGACGCUAGAGGCGCAGGGGAUGACCUUCUCGUCCGACGCCGGAGUGUGGAGGCACGUCAGCACGGACACGGAGACAGGCAGGCUGACCAAGGGGGGGGAUCAGCCUGCCGACGUACUGUUGUGCGCGCGGCUCCACGUCCCUGGAGUCGUUCCAUCUCCACCUCAACCGCUUCAUUCCAGGAGAAAGUGCCAACCCUUGGCUCUUCCAGGCUUUUCUCCUGGAGGGGUUGGUGAGAUGGAACGAGGACAGGGCGGCGUCCGCGGCACAGGAGGGUCGUCCGCUGCUCCGCACCUACAGUGGCCCCCUGCAGCACUCCCUUGACCAGCUCAGCCAACGGGUGCUUGGCUCGAGUUUGGUCAGGGACUACACCAAGCCCAGGGAGUACAUCGGGUAAGAACGACACGUACACGUGUCCGCGCCGAGCGAGUACCUGUACUCCCAGACGUCAGCUUG